rnacentral:rRNA from 1 species
GACGAACGCUGGCGGCGUGCCUAAUACAUGCAAGUAGAACGCUGAAGGAGGAGCUUGCUUCUCUGGAUGAGUUGCGAACGGGUGAGUAACGCGUAGGUAACCUGCCUGGUAGCGGGGGAUAACUAUUGGAAACGAUAGCUAAUACCGCAUAAUAGCAGUGGUUGCAUGACAACUGUUUGAAAGGUGCAAUUGCACCAUUACCAGAUGGCCCUGCGUUGUAUUAGCUAGUUGGUGGGGUAACGGCUCACCAAGGCGACGAUACAUAGCCGACCUGAGAGGGUGAUCGGCCACACUGGGACUGAGACACGGCCCAGACUCCUACGGGAGGCAGCAGUAGGGAAUCUUCGGCAAUGGACGGAAGUCUGACCGAGCAACGCCGCGUGAGUGAAGAAGGUUUUCGGAUCGUAAAGCUCUGUUGUAAGAGAAGAACGAGUGUGAGAGUGGAAAGUUCACACUGUGACGGUAUCUUACCAGAAAGGGACGGCUAACUACGUG